rnacentral:lncRNA from 1 species
AAAUAUUUAGGCUUAAUUAUAAAUUUUAUUCUUCUAUUUUUUUUUAUUCUUUUAUUUUUUAUUUUUUUAAAGUUUUGAUCCUCUAAUUUUAAAUUUUGGAUUUUUGAUCAUUCCAUACAAUUUUUUUUCAGGAUUUUAGUUUCCUUCUAAUUUAAGGUCAAAUUUUAAUGAUAUGACAGUCAAUUUGAUGAUGUGUCACUAUCACAUCUGUAACACAAGAUUAGU